UACGUAGGGGGCUAGCGUUGUCCGGAAUCAUUGGGCGUAAAGCGCGUGUAGGCGGCUAUGUAAGUCGGGCGUGAAAUCCCACGGCUCAACCGGUGGAAGUGCACCCGAAACUGCGUAGCUAGAGUCCUGGAGAGGAAGGUGGAAUGCUUGGUGUAGAGGUGAAAUUCGUAGAUAUCAAGCGGAACACCGGUGGCGAAGGCAGCCAUCUGGACCGACACUGACGCUGAGGCGCGAAAGCGUGGGGAGCAAACAGGG
rnacentral:rRNA from 1 species